ACAAGGAAGACUCACUUGAAGAGAAGAUCAAGGACAAAAAUAAUAUUCUGGUGAGCCAUUUCUGCUCUCAUACACUUCGUAUAUAAUGGCACCUCAAGCCACGGAGAGAGAGAGAGAGAGAGAGAGAGAGAGAGAGAGAGAGAGAGAGAGAGAACGAACAACAACAACAUAAAAGAUAACAAGAAAUAACAAACAACCUAACUCAACCAUCUCUCACUUUCACUCUCCCUCUCCCUCCCAUCCCCUCCCUCUCCCUCUCCCUCUCUCCCAUUCCUUAACUACCUAACCACACUGGCCAUCAUAGCUCACAUCCUGCGCUUCUUACCCCAGUGCCCUCUCUCACUCUCACUUUCUCACUCUCUCUCAGUCCCGUCUUAAACUUUACUCGUGUCGCAUCUCCACCAGUCAGUCAGUCAGUCAGUUAGCCAGUCAACCAGCCAGUAAACCAGUUAGCCAGUCAAUCAGUAAUCCGAUACGCAUGCACACACGCACGCACGCACGCACGCACGCACGCAAAGUGUUAGUUAUUACGUGUGGAAAGAGUAUUGCGUGUUCUACUACUACUUCUACUACUACUAUUACUACUACUGCCGUGAAGAACAAAUAUUGUGUCUGGCUCUCCUCGGCUUGGUGCGGGUGUCGUCACGCUGCCUCACUGCUACACGCAAACCCUCAGUGAGCCAAGGCGCUGCAGGUCUGCUUGCUGCCUUAGUUACUAAAGGAGCACACGCAUCCAGACAACUCAUCAUCAACCCGACCUGAGCCGACUGUGGGAGUGACAAAUGGUUCCCUGGACGCCGUGUGUCACCGGAUUGCAGGCGAGCGUCAGGCGGACCAUGAGUCGGGACGCUGCCAAGUCCGUUGACCAGAACCUGACCAGGAAAAUUUAAGAAGCGUGGCCUUGACCUUGCUCAGCAGUUGUGCCUUCACCUGACCUACGUUAUGUUGCUCUGCGUUCAUUGUUUCUGGCAAAGUGAGUUAGUGCAGUCGUGCCUUCAGUGUGUCACCCAUACUUUGCAAGCAGUCGAUUUCCUGCUCUGCUUUACCAGGUGGUAUUUGUUUUGAAAGAGAGUUGAGAAGUGGAUUAUGUCAUGCUCUUAACUUAAAUUUUAUGCUUCUUUAUUCAUAACUGCAUCAACAGACCACCUGGGAAAAGUAAUGCUUUGUGCCUCUGUUUGUUUUCAUUUCACGACACGGUAGGGAGCGAGAGCACGUCCACAGAGCAAAGAAUUCAAGACAUACCUCUUUGAAUUCUGGGAAAAUAGGAUGCGUAUUUCUGGUCGUCCUUCAGAGAAGCUAAUGUUAUACAUGCGUAUGCCAUUUAAAUUCAGCGAAGAAAUUUGAGAAAUACUUCUGGAAAAUGUUUUAACGAGCUCCUAUCGUUAAAUCUUCAUAAGAAACGUUUGCAUCAUAAAAUAACGAAAUUUUAAGCCUCACAUCCAGCAUCAGAGACCAUAAGAGCCACAGCAAGGUGUAUUCGAGGAGCAGUGUUAAGAUGUGCAUAAACAAAGUAAAAUAUACGUAGUGCUGACAGGCAUCACAGAAAAGAAAACUUGUAAUAACAUUUCAAAGGAAAAACUUUUAACCAGUACAGUGUUGCGCUUUGUCAGAGAUAGUGGUCUUGUCAGGCUGCAUUUCUUUUUCCUAAGCUUCUUAUUUACCCCGUAAAAUGACAGAAAAAGGAAAAUAA